rnacentral:misc_RNA from 1 species
AAAAUAAUUAUUUAAAUUAUAAUCAGAUAUAUUUGUUAGCAAAUAGAUGUAUCUGUUAAUAAACAUAUAUGUCUAUUAGAUAAACAUUCACAUCUGUUAGAAGAGGUGCUAAUUUAAAAGAAAUAGUCAUGUCUGUUGGAAGUUAACAGAUAUGUUUGUCUAGAAAGAAUGCCAUGACUUUUCAUUAUCCAUAAAUAUGAAUGAGUUGUUUAAAUACAUAUACUACUUUUUUUUUUCUCUUCUAAUCUCUCUAAAUUCUAUUCAUACACAGUUUUUAAGGGAUAUCUGACAAUUUUUUAUACCCCAGAGGUAUAAUGCAUAAACUUGUAGCAUUCUAGUGAGGACAAUUAAUACGUCUCAAUGGAACAUGACCCAAAUAGGCUCAACAACUAAGUUUGUCUUCAUACUUGAUUUGAAGUAAUUCUCACUGAAGAGUUACAGCUCCCUUCUAUAUUGGCUAUUAAUUUCUAGUGGUGAAAGGUUUUCUUCAAAUGGGGUUUUAAAAGAUAGAGUUAAAACUUCAAAACACUAAACACAAUGCAAUUACAGUAUUGGGAAACACAAAAUUACACAAUUACAAUACUAUUAAUGAUUAAAAGACUGAGUAAAACACAAUUACAAUACUGCUAAUGACUAAAAGACUGAGCAAAACAAACACAUACUUACC